rnacentral:lncRNA from 1 species
UCUUUCCUUCCUCCAUCUUGAGUUUUCUAAGAGCGUCUCAGAUCUGAAACUCCUCCUCCUAUUUCUCAUCUUUGGAAGAGUCCAAAUCAAGAAGAAGGAGGCACCUGAUCAACCAUCGAAGAAGGAUCAGUGCAGUACUAGCAUACUGUGCUGAUUUCCUGGAGCAGCAUUUUUGAUCGAGAUUCGUGGGCUCGUGUGAAUGACUCCUAG